rnacentral:rRNA from 1 species
UACAGAGGGGGCAAGCGUUGUUCGGAAUUACUGGGCGUAAAGGGCGCGUAGGCGGCCUUCUAAGUCAGACGUGAAAUCCCUCGGCUCAACCGGGGAACUGCGUCUGAGACUGGAAGGCUUGAAUCCGGGAGAGGGAUGUGGAAUUCCAGGUGUAGCGGUGAAAUGCGUAGAUAUCUGGAGGAACACCGGUGGCGAAGGCGGCAUCCUGGACCGGUAUUGAUGCUGAUGCGCGAAAGCCAGGGGAGCAAACGGG